rnacentral:lncRNA from 1 species
GGGUUCGUGGCUGCGACGGGUAAACGUCCGUUCCGCGAGCCGGGCAAGGCAACCCCUGCGGGUCGCGCCCGAAGGCCGGACCCCUCCAAGCCGCCUGGGAGCUUCCAAACAGGUGGACCCGAAGCUCCUGUUUGAUCGGAGAAUAACGUUCAAUUUACUCCGCCGCUGAACUGAUGGUUUAAAUAUUCAUCUUUGGAUAUGGUUUCACAUUAGGCAAAAGUUAGGAGCUUGGAGGCGGUUCCGGGAAGGGGCCUGACCCUCAGUCACCCACGUUCGUAGCCGGGUGAUCUGCCCUCGGGCAAGAGAAGGAAGAUGAUUGGGAGGGUGCCAAGAAAGCCUGGAGAAAGUCCCUUCUGGGUUCAGCGGCUGUAGCCGCUCUCCCAGGACGUUUGUUGGCAAUAAAUGAAGGAAGGUCGGCCCGGAGACGUUUUCGCACAACGGACAGAGGGGAGUUGGAGCGUAAACCAGCGAGAAGCUGGCAUGACAUAGGAUCCCUCUAUUCUCAGUUUGUUUCCAAACUCUUAGACUGCCCCAGCCCUGCCGGAUUUGCUAAAAGUGGUCUCUUCUGGACGCCGGUGGGGCUAUGGGGCUGACGGCUGCCUGUGCAAAGAAGAGGGAAGAAUUGGAAGCUGGGGUCUGGGCAGCUACCAAAGAUGGGGCUUGGGAACUUUUCAGAACGUCCUCAGAACCGCAGGAGCCAAGAGGAAAUCUCCCGUAGGGGAUCUCAGGGAACAGAAGUUCGUGUUUGCUCUCCAGCGGGAUU